GGAACAUAUGUCACUACGAUAGCUAUUGCUACAAAAUUAAUCACAACAAUUGCAAUAUACAACAAUAAUCUCCAAGUCCUUAAAAAGAAAAUAAAUGAGAAUUUACCCACAAAAUCGAAUAAACCAUCAAGAAAAAGAAAAAUGAAAAAAAGACCCCUAUAAGGAGUAUUUAAGGGGACAACAUAAAGAUGUUACAAAAAGGCAGCAACGAUUGCAAGCAGCAGAAGAUACAGAAGUCUGAUGGCUCCUUCAGAAUAAAAGAAAUCCCUGCAUUUCAGAAAACUUCGGCAACUUUGCUAGCUAGGACGCGAUCCCUUCUUUCAAUGUAACCAAAAGGAAACCAUCCUGCUCUGCCCUUGCAUUCACCUUCGGCCCAACCAUUGUUGGAAACCUUGCGAAUAACGAUAUAUUCUCCAACAGACAAAUUAAGCUCUACAUCAGAUUCAGCUUGAUAUGGGUACAUGACUUCUCCGAGAAAGUAACCCAUAUUAUCAGUUGAUCCAUUUUGUACGGGUGAAGUAGAGACACCAUUUACUUCUUCAUAUGAGGGAGGUGGAGGCAUAGUAUCCAGGGGAGGAGCAGGAGCAGG
rnacentral:misc_RNA from 1 species